AGAGUUUGAUUAUGGCUCAGGAUGAACGCUGGCGGCGUGCUUAACACAUGCAAGUCGAACGGACUUAUUUGAGAGCUUGCUUUUGGAUAAGUUAGUGGCGGACGGGUGAGUAACGCGUGGGUAACCUGCCGUAUGCUGGGGGACAACAGUUGGAAACGACUGCUAAUACCGCAUAAGCGCACAGCACCGCAUGGUGCAGUGUGAAAAAACUCCGGUGGCAUACGAUGGACCCGCGUCUGAUUAGGCAGUUGGCGAGGUAACGGCUCACCAAACCGACGAUCAGUAGCCGGCCUGAGAGGGUGAACGGCCACAUUGGGACUGAGACACGGCCCAAACUCCUACGGGAGGCAGCAGUGGGGAAUAUUGCACAAUGGGGGAAACCCUGAUGCAAGCGACGCCGCGUGAGUGAAGAAGUAUUUCGGUAUGUAAAGCUCUAUCAGCAGGAAAGAAAAUGACGGUACCUGACUAAGAAGCCCCGGCUAACUACGUGCCAGCAGCAGC
rnacentral:rRNA from 1 species